GCCAUGGCCGGGCGGAGAGCUUGGCCGGAGCGGGGCGGGAGGGGCAGAGCGCGGCGGGCAGCGAGUUGCCGCUGCCGGUCACCGCCUCAUCCUGGCGCCGCCGGGCUGGUUCGCCGUCUUUUCUUCUCGAGAGCUCCUGGAUUUCCUGUUGCUGCUUGAGAUGGGGCAAAGGAACGAGCCGAGCUGUGACCCGCUGCCUCCCUGCCCUGCAGAGCUGGAGCUGCGCUAGCAUCAGGAUAAAGCAGGAUUUUCUUACCAGUAAGGCUGAGAAUGAUAAACAUGGUGCACGUCCGUGGUAUUCUGCAGAUGUUCCCUGUAAAGUUCCUGCGUACAUCCCUAAAGCAUGCUCACCACUUAAAAGUGUCUGACUCAAGUCACUGGAGUGGAGGGAGAAAAGCCUGAGAGGAAGAAAAAGCACAGGUCAGCAGCAGCAGCCAGACUGGAAUCUCAAAGCAGAAAACCCAAACCUGUCCUAGCUCCCCAGCAGAAAGCCUCUCUGCAACCAGCCAGUGUGCAAGCAGCUUUGGCAUCCUCUUGCCAAAGCCACCACUACGCAGAAAGGACGAGGUGCCACACUGAAGAGCACAGAGUGUGACAACCAACAGCUGUGAAUAUAAACAGAGAGCACUUCAAGAAAAUAAGCACCUGCCUCAAGGCUGCAGUGUGCCCUUCUAAUGACAGAAGGAUGUGGUGCAGCCCUGGGGCACUGCAAAAGAGGACUCAUGGGCACAGCUAAUUGUAAAAUUAAGGAAGGAGGAGCAGGAAGAGCUCAGAGGGAGACAGUGGAACAGCUUCAUCCAUCUGCCCGGUUCCUACUUGCCACAGGGGUGGGUAUUGAAGGAAAGCAGAAGGAAUAUUUCAUGUUCAUCGUCUGUGCUUCGAGUAGAAUGCAACCUCAGGAGACCAUGAUGGCUUUAACAGGCAGGCAGACUUGGAUGUAAGAGCCUUUCUCAGCAAGGUCACCGCAUGAGUCAGCGCGGGGCCAGGAAUAGCGCUCAGGACCAGCACGGCUGUGCGGAGCUGGAGACAACAGGCUCUUCUUUGUCUCCUGGGAGUCACCGCCCCAGCCGGGGAGCUGUGCUCAGGCCAUCGGUUCAGCACAGUCUGGGCCACGAGCUUCAGAGAUAAAAUACACACUUCUUGGAUGCUGUUUCCUUUAAAAAAAAAAAAAAGCUGGCGAGACCAUGCCAUUCUCAGCGACUGCAUUCUGCUAUUUUGCCUGUAAACGAAGUCAGAUAUGUUCGUGCUGUUUGCUGCUCUUCCUUCUCCAAGUGUCUCCAUCAGCAGUCUGUUAAACUCAGUGGGAUGUCAGACAUUAGAUGGGAGGAAUGAUCCAGUUGUCAGGGCAUUAGCCUCUGGUUCAGCAGCAUGAUUCAAACUACUCCUCUGCCAAAGCCCACCUGUGUGUUCCUGGAAAAGUCACUUAAUCUUUCUUUCCUCCCCCUCCUUAUCUGAAAAGCUGGGUCAAGCAUAUAUCCUGAAGACUCAGGGGUCUUGUGAAAGUUGUGCUCCAGACUGCAGUGGCACUGGCUGUUGAAUACCGUAGUUAUCCUGGACAGGGAGUCUCUGCCUGGCAGAAGAUACGAGAUUUGCUGGAAAGGUGAAAAUGUGCUUUGGGGCUAAAUGGGAGAAGGUUGUCACUACAGCCUCCUGUGAUACCAUGGCAUAGGGAUGAGACUGACUGGUCCUAGGACACGGAGUUGAAAUUGUGUUACAGUAAAGUAUGAAUGCUGUGCCAGGGGAAUUUUGCUUGUGUCUGUGCAUAAUGCUCAGUAGCAGAUGACGCUUACAAAAAUCAUCUGCCUCUGAAAGAAAAUGCUGCUAUGUUUUAUAGAGGCCAGACACCUGUUCUCUCAUGGACUGGUUGCUAGCAUUUAAAGAAAAGAAAAAAUCAGUUAUUUUAUAAAAUCCUUAACAUCCCUACCAAUGCCACAAGGCUCUUUUAUAUACAGGUUCCUUGUCUUCUGGGCACUGGGAAGAAUGAAAAAUACUUCAGGGAUUUCACUCACUGAAAGGGAAAGUGCCCUUUUUGGGUGGCUGACCGACCCCAAAUCACCUCGGGAUUGCCUAAGAGAAGGAGUGCGAGGCAGCGAGGCCUCAAGCAGCGUGGGCUGGGAGCUGACAUCAGGUGACAACAAGAACACUGUCCCUGCUGCUAAGAGUUGUGCAGCGUGCCUUCCCAUGUGGUGGUAGAUGGGGGGCAGCAUACUCGAGGUGUAAGAAGUGGAUGGGAAAAACCCAACCAACCCCAACAACCCUGUUGUGUGUUUCACUGUGCCAGCCCUGAAGGAAGAGGAAAAGUGCUCAGUGUCCCUCAGACAAUGUGCCUGUGACUAGCCUGGCCUUGGUUGCUGUGUUGACAGCAGAGAGCUGGAGGAGAGCAGUGUUUGCAAAUGGGCCCUCAAGGGCUCCUGGAACAGGGGAAUGUUUUUGAGCCAUCGCUGCUGCAUGGCUCUGCCUGUGAAAAAUGCUGACCAAAGAGACCCCGUCAAAUCCGCAAGAGUUCCCACGCAGAGCUGGGGCCUGGUGCUGCCCAUGCAGGCCGACAGCACUACGCAGCAUUUUGCAUGCCGAUGUGACACCGACCACACAGCUUGCGAACUGUGCAGCACCUUGGCAAUUUAUGGAGGGGAAGAGCUUUCUUGAAUGCCAUGCCUGAGAGCCAAGCCCCUCUUCCCUCUGGAACAACG